rnacentral:snoRNA from 1 species
AAGCCAGUCAAUGAAUCUGCUUACCUGAUUGUGUUUCUGCAGAAAAUUUUUAUAACUGGUGAUAGCAGUGCCAUGUUACAAGCCUUAAUGACAUUAGGGUCUUUAAGGUCCCUGAAAGUGGCUAUAUGA